UCCAGUUUAUAUACAUAUAUUGGUAUUUGGUAUAUUAAGUGUGAUACAAUUAUAUUGUUAUUAUUAUUAUUAUUAUUAUUAUUAUUAUUAUUAUUAUUAUUAUUAUUAUUAUUAUCUUUUUGUUUCUUUUUUGUUGUGCGUGUGAGUGGGUGAGAAAAUGAUGAUAUAUAUGUAUAUAUUAAAUAGUUAGAUAAAUAAAUAGUGAGGCAUUAGAUUAGUUAGUUUAAAAUUUAAAAUUUAAAUCAGCAUAAUUUUAUCUGAUUAGUUAGAUUUUUAUUUUUAAAUUUAAACCUAUUAUACGAUAUGUUAUAUACGUAUAUACUCUAGAACUCUAGCAGCCAGAUAGUAUCGUAUUCAUUUAUUCUCACCAUCUCUCAACUUUUUUAUCCUCUCUAUUGCACCAAAUCAAUUGUUUUAAUCUUAAGAGCUUCGGGGUCAGCAAUCAACCGAUCAUCGUUCCGUGUCUUCGAAAUCUUCAGGGCCUAGAAGGUAUCGUAGGAGUUAAUUACAGCGGAGUUGAGAUAAGUAAGCAUGUAAGCUUUCGGUGACAAGUUGAGUCUUGGCAGCAUGGGGUGUAUCUCGUGUGAUCAUGUAACUGCGUGUGGUCUUGGCCAUCUUCCGCUGAAAGUUUUUUUUUUUAAUUUAUUAAACUUAUCGAGGAUGUUGUCGUUUAAAUUUUCUAUUACUUUUCCCUAAGUGGUAAUACUUUAUUUUCAACUGGGUACCCAUGUUUUGAAAAUUGUUAUUUUUUUUUAAUAAAGGCAACAUUAGUAUCUUAACGCCAGUUUA